CCGAGAACCGGUGCCCUCGUGGCGCCGACCCUCAAACCACCGUGUACCGAACUUUAACGUUGCCUCGGCGGGCCGGGCCCUCGUGGCCCCCCUCCCCCUCGCGGGGUGCUGGGAGCCGCCCGCCGCAGGACCAAACAAGACCGUUUUGUAUGACGAACGUCUGAUAUUCUUCUUCGCGAAUGCGAUAAAGUA
rnacentral:misc_RNA from 1 species